GGAGAAGUGGCCGAGUGGCUGAAGGCACGCCCCUGCUAAGGGCGCAGAUCCAAAAUUAAGGGUCUCGAGGGUUCGAAUCCCUCCUUCUCCGCCA
rnacentral:tRNA from 1 species